rnacentral:rRNA from 1 species
UACGGAGGGGGCAAGCGUUGUUCGGAAUUACUGGGCGUAAAGGGCGCGUAGGCGGCCGCCUAAGUCAGACGUGAAAUCCCUCGGCUCAACCGGGGAACUGCGUCUGAUACUGGGUGGCUUGAAUCCGGGAGAGGGAUGCGGAAUUCCAGGUGUAGCGGUGAAAUGCGUAGAUAUCUGGAGGAACACCGGUGGCGAAGGCGGCACCCUGGACCGGCAUUGACGCUGAGGCGCGAAAGCCAGGGGAGCAAACGGG